rnacentral:rRNA from 1 species
UACGUAGGGGGCAAGCGUUGUCCGGAUUUAUUGGGCGUAAAGAGCGUGUAGGCGGCCUUACAGGUCAGCUGUGAAAACUCGAGGCUCAACCUCGAGACGUCGGUUGAAACCGUAAGGCUAGAGUCCGGAAGAGGAGAGUGGAAUUCCCGGGUGUAGCGGUGAAAUGCGCAGAUAUCGGGAAGAACACCCGUGGCGAAGGCGGCUCUCUGGGACGGUACUGGACGCUGAGACGCGAAAGCGUGGGGAGCGAACAGG